GAUAUGUGUAAAUGUAAGCUAGCUUCAAAGACGUGUAUCUUGUAUGCUUUAACGUAACUGUUAACAGUUAUAUUUGCAGCCGAACUUCAAACAGUUAUAACUGUUCACUGUACGAUACCUUGAAGUAAGUAUAGUUGUCCGCUGUAAGUGGAUUCAGUUAUCAAUAGCUCCUUUAAAAUAGUUUCAAACAAUUAUAACUGUCCCUUGAAAGCUAACUUUAAAUCUGUCCACUGUAAACUCGUUUCUAUACAUACUACAUUCACAAAAUACAACAUACUGGAGGAUGUCACCAAGGUGGGGGCCAGCACUCUGUUCCCAAUACAUUCAUCACGUUGAUAGCAUUACAACUACUUGACCUGAGGUAGCUGAUAUGAGAUAUGAACA